UCCGCAGGCGGGCAAGCAAGUCGGUGGUGAAAGCUCACGGCUCAACCGUGAGAUUGCCAUUGAUACUGCUUGUCUUGAGUUCGAGAGAGGAUAAUGGAAUUCAUGGUGUAGCGGUGAAAUGCGUAGAGAUCAUGAAGAACACCAGUAGCGAAGGCGGUUAUCUGGCUCGAUACUGACGCUCAGGGACGAAAGCAUGGGUAGCAAACA
rnacentral:rRNA from 1 species